rnacentral:rRNA from 1 species
GACGAACGCUGGCGGCGUGCUUAACACAUGCUUUUCGAACGGAAAGGCCCUGCUUUUGUGGGGUGCUCGAGUGGCGAACGGGUGAGUAACACGUGAGUAACCUGCCCUUGACUUUGGGAUAACUUCAGGAAACUGGGGCUAAUACCGGAUAGGAGCUCCUGCUGCAUGGUGGGGGUUGGAAAGUUUCGGCGGUUGGGGAUGGACUCGCGGCUUAUCAGCUUGUUGGUGGGGUAGUGGCUUACCAAGGCUUUGACGGGUAGCCGGCCUGAGAGGGUGACCGGCCACAUUGGGACUGAGAUACGGCCCAGACCCCUACGGGAGGCAGCAGUGGGGAAUAUUGCACAAUGGGCGGAAGCCUGAUGCAGCAACGCCGCGUGCGGGAUGACGGCCUUCGGGUUGUAAACCGCUUUCGCCUGUGACGAAGCGUGAGUGACGGUAAUGGGUAAAGAAGCACCGGCUAACUACGUGCCAGCAGCCGCGGUGAUACGUAGGGUGCGAGCGUUGUCCGGAUUUAUUGGGCGUAAAGGGCUCGUAGGUGGUUGAUCGCGUCGGAAGUGUAAUCUUGGGGCUUAACCCUGAGCGUGCCUUCGAUACGGGUUGACUUGAGGAAGGUAGGGGAGAAUGGAAUUCCUGGUGGAGCGGUGGAAUGCGCAGAUAUCAGGAGGAACACCAGUGGCGAAGGCGGUUCUCUGGGCCUUUCCUGACGCUGAGGAGCGAAAGCGUGGGGAGCGAACAGGCUUAGAUACCCUGGUAGUCCACGCUGUAAACGGUGGGUACUAGGUGUGGGGUCCAUUCCACGGGUUCCGUGCCGUAGCUAACGCUUUAAGUACCCCGCCUGGGGAGUACGGCCGCAAGGCUAAAACUCAAAGGAAUUGACGGGGCCCCGCACAAGCGGCGGAGCAUGCGGAUUAAUUCGAUGCAACGCGUAGAACCUUACCUGGGUUUGACAUGGAUCGGGAGCGCUCAGAGAUGGGUGUGCCUCUUUUGGGGUCGGUUCACAGGUGGUGCAUGGCUGUCGUCAGCUCGUGUCGUGAGAUGUUGGGUUAAGUCCCGCAACGAGCGCAACCCUUGUUCACUGUUGCCAGCACGUUAUGGUGGGGACUCAGUGGAGACCGCCGGGGUCAACUCGGAGGAAGGUGGGGAUGACGUCAAGUCAUCAUGCCCCUUAUGUCCAGGGCUUCACGCAUGCUACAAUGGCUGGUACAGAGAGUGGCGAGCCUGUGAGGGUGAGCGAAUCUCGGAAAGCCGGUCUCAGUUCGGAUUGGGGUCUGCAACUCGACCUCAUGAAGUCGGAGUCGCUAGUAAUCGCAGAUCAGCAACGCUGCGGUGAAUACGUUCCCGGGGCU